UACGUAGGGUGCGAGCGUUGUCCGGAAUUAUUGGGCGUAAAGAGCUCGUAGGCGGUUUGUCACGUCGGAUGUGAAACCCCGGGGCUUAACUCCGGGCCUGCAUUCGAUACGGGCUGACUAGAGUUCGGCAGGGGAGACUGGAAUUCCUGGUGUAGCGGUGAAAUGCGCAGAUAUCAGGAGGAACACCGGUGGCGAAGGCGGGUCUCUGGGCCGAUACUGACGCUGAGGAGCGAAAGCGUGGGGAGCAAACAGG
rnacentral:rRNA from 1 species